rnacentral:tRNA from 1 species
GCCGCCGUAGCUCAGCCGGCAGAGCGCCGGCCUCGUAAGCCGGCGGUCCCGGGUUCGAAUCCCGGCGGCGGCUCCA